UACGGAGGGUGCAAGCGUUAUCCGGAAUCAUUGGGUUUAAAGGGUCCGCAGGCGGAUUUAUAAGUCAGUGGUGAAAGCCUACAGCUUAACUGUAGAACUGCCAUUGAUACUGUAAGUCUUGAAUUCGAUCGAAGUGGGCGGAAUGUGUAGUGUAGCGGUGAAAUGCUUAGAUAUUACACAGAACACCGAUAGCGAAGGCAGCUCACUAGGUCUGGAUUGACGCUCAGGGACGAAAGCGUGGGGAGCAAACAGGAUUAGAUACCCUGGUAGUCCACGCCGUAAACUAUGAUUACUCGUUCUCGGCGAUAUACGGUCGGGGACUAAGCGAAAGUGAUAAGUAAUCCACCUGGGGAGUACGAUCGCAAGGUUG
rnacentral:rRNA from 1 species